GGGGGCUCAGUGGUAGAGUGCUUGCCUUGCAUGCAUGAGGCCCUGGGUUCGAUUCCUUAGCACCA
rnacentral:tRNA from 1 species